rnacentral:rRNA from 2 species
UGGGGAAUAUUGCACAAUGGAGGGAACUCUGAUGCAGCGACGCCGCGUGAACGAAGAAGGCUUUCGAGUCGUAAAGUUCUUUUAUAUGGGAAGAUAAUGACGGUACCAUAAGAAAAAGCCCCGGCUAACUACGUGCCAGCAGCCGCGGUAAUACGUAGGGGGCUAGCGUUGUCCGGAAUCACUGGGCGUAAAGGGUUCGCAGGCGGAAAUGCAAGCCAGGUGUAAAAGGCAGUAGCUUAACUACUGUAAGCAUUUGAAACUGCAUAUCUUGAGAAGAGUAGAGGUAAGUGGAAUUUUUAGUGUAGCGGUGAAAUGCGUAGAUAUUAAAAAGAAUACCGGUGGCGAAGGCGACUUACUGGGCUCAUUCUGACGCUGAGGAACGAAAGCGUGGGUAGCAAACAGG